ACGGCGAUAGCUCAGUUGGUGGAGCUUGGGGCUCUUAAUCUCAGGGUCGUGGGUUCGAGAUUCCUGCAUCGCAGGG